rnacentral:lncRNA from 1 species
CUAAUUCAAAGUUACAGGCAGUAUAUGAGGAAAACAACUUUUACGUACUUUGUUAUCUUGCUUCGUGUCCAUGUCUAGGCUGUUAUGGAAACAUCCAGUACAAGCUGUCCGCCAUCCAGUACGUGGAGGUCCAUAGGCAACAACAUUCGUGGGUGGGUAAUGAAGCCAAGAAAUAUUGUGACUGGACUAGUUCUGAAGGACUACGCAGAACAACGAAGCUUUAUUCUGGCAAUCGUUAUUCUUAUUAUUCCCUACGACUUCUGUAUUCCGAUAUAUAUCAUCGAGGCCCUCCUGUUCCAGCAUUCUAUCAGAAUUUUUACACAGAAGAGAAGUUG